rnacentral:rRNA from 1 species
GUAAACGAUGUCUACUAGCCGUUGGGGCCUUUGAGGCUUUAGUGGCGCAGCUAACGCGAUAAGUAGACCGCCUGGGGAGUACGGUCGCAAGACUAAAACUCAAAUGAAUUGACGGGGGCCCGCACAAGCGGUGGAGCAUGUGGUUUAAUUCGAUGCAACGCGAAGAACCUUACCUGGUCUUGACAUAGUAAGAACUUUCCAGAGAUGGAUUGGUGCCUUCGGGAACUUACAUACAGGUGCUGCAUGGCUGUCGUCAGCUCGUGUCGUGAGAUGUUGGGUUAAGUCCCGCAACGAGCGCAACCCUUUUCCUUAUUUGCCAGCACUUCGGGUGGGAACUUUAAGGAUACUGCCAGUGACAAACUGGAGGAAGGCGGGGACGACGUCAAGUCAUCAUGGCCCUUACGACCAGGGCUACACACGUGCUACAAUGGUCGGUACAAAGGGUUGCUACCUAGCGAUAGGAUGCUAAUCUCAAAAAGCCGAUCGUAGUCCGGAU